GGUGGUAUUUCGGCAUGGGCGAAGUCUGACCGAGCAACGCCGCGUGAGUGAAGAAGGUUUUCGGAUCGUAAAACUCUGUUGUUAGAGAAGAACAAGGAUGAGAGUAACUGUUCAUCCCUUGACGGUAUCUAACCAGAAAGCCACGGCUAACUACGUGCCAGCAGCCGCGGUAAUACGUAGGUGGCAAGCGUUGUCCGGAUUUAUUGGGCGUAAAGCGAGCGCAGGCGGUUUCUUAAGUCUGAUGUGAAAGCCCCCGGCUCAACCGGGGAGGGUCAUUGGAAACUGGGAAACUUGAGUGCAAAAAAGGAAAGUGGAAUUCCAUGUGUAGCGGUGAAAUGCGUAAAUAUAUGGAGGAACACCAGUGGCGAAGGCGGCUCUCUGGUCUGUAACUGACGCUGAGGCUCGAAAGCGUGGGGAGCAAACAGGAUUAGAUACCCUGGUAGUCCACGCCGUAAACGAUGAGUGCUAAGUGUUGGAGGGUUUCCGCCCUUCAGUGCUGCAGCUAACGCAUUAAGCACUCCGC
rnacentral:rRNA from 1 species